UCUAAUAUGGCAGAUUAGUGCAUUGAAUUUAAGCUUCAAAUAUGAAGACUUCUUUUGUUAGAA
rnacentral:tRNA from 1 species